AUUGAACGCUGGCGGCAUGCUUUACACAUGCAAGUCGGACGGCAGCACAGAGAAGCUUGCUUCUUGGGUGGCGAGUGGCGAACGGGUGAGUAACAUAUCGGAACGUACCGAGCAGUGGGGGAUAACUAAUCGAAAGAUUAGCUAAUACCGCAUAUAUUCUGAGGAAGAAAGCAGGGGACCAUUUGGCCUUGCGCUGUUUGAGCGGCCGAUAUCUGAUUAGCUGGUUGGUGGGGUAAAGGCCUACCAAGGCGACGAUCAGUAGCGGGUCUGAGAGGAUGAUCCGCCACACUGGGACUGAGACACGGCCCAGACUCCUACGGGAGGCAGCAGUGGGGAAUUUUGGACAAUGGGCGCAAGCCUGAUCCAGCCAUGCCGCGUGUCUGAAGAAGGCCUUCGGGUUGUAAAGGACUUUUGUCAGGGAAGAAAAGGAUAGGGUUAAUACCCCUGUCUGAUGACUGUACCUGAAGAAUAAGC
rnacentral:rRNA from 1 species